CCUUUUAAAAAAAAAAUCGAUUUAACCAAGUGAUAUAAGCGAUCAAAAUGGCGGAUGGGGAGGAUGGAGAAACCAGAGAAGAAGCGUCAUGGUAUGCUUAAGGUGUACUAUGGCAUGGAGGAAGAAACUCCCGGAUCACCCACCAUUGAUCCUGUGAUAUCAAUGGGGCUCACUUUGACCCUGAAAUGUUUUAUCGAAGCUAAUCAAGGAAAAGUCACUGACACGAGUUGAUGGAUGAGGAGGCAAAAACAGUCACUCAGAUCCGAGACUUGACAGCGACAUGCAGACUCUGGUUUACGAAAAUUAUAAUAAAUUCAUCAGUGCAACAGACACCAUCACGAAAAAUGAAAAAUGACUUUAAGAAAAUGGAGGAUGAGAUGGAUCAUUUGGCCACCAACAUGUCAACAAUACAGAAUGAAGCAUACAGCCAAGCUGUCAGGUACUAUAGCAAAGGUAAGAGGAUUCUGCAGCGGUACCAGCACAUGACCAGCUUCCAAGGCAUCAGCCAGGACUGCAACACAGAUCAUACAAAACCUCUGUCAGAUCCUCAGGCAGCAGUUCAAGGAGAAGGAGUCAACACCCAAGCAGCUGGCAGAGUGUGUGGACCUGCUGCUACAGCUGAAUGAGCGCGGCAGAGGAGCUGUGUGAGGAGUUCUCUCACAUGCUGGCAGAAGAUAGAGGAAGAUUUGUCCGUACUGGACGGCAGAUUCGCUGCAGAUGGGGGAGGACAUCAAAGAUGAAGCGGAGUCCCUAGCAGAGGCAUACCUGGCCACUCCUAGGAUGUGUUGGAGUUUGUGGGACUGUGGCUGUAAUGGUUUUUGAGUAACAUCUGUCUAGUGAUAGCUUCCUACAAUGACAUGUUCCUGAGCAGACUACAAGAUGAUGAAAAUUUAGAUGCUAUAGCAUUAAAGAAGUUAGUGAACUUUGUGAAUGAUCUCAUGGAGAGAUAUUUUCUUAUGUCCAGAAACGCAUUCAACUUGAGCGUGAAACAGGGGACAACACUAUUCUUGUAAGGUCCUUGGACAGAUUCCAUCGGAGAUUACAAGCCAUGAACAACGUUUUCCCCAGACACACAGAUUUCUCAAGGGCGGGUACAGAUAUUGUUUCCAAAGCUGCCAGGGACAGAGUAGGACAUUAUCUACAAGCUCUGAAGCAACAUUUUUCUGAUUGCAUGACAGAUGUGAGACAGAGUCUAGCUGCCCCAGAAGACUGCUGGGAAGGAGGGUAGUGCCAGUCUCAUUGAACUCCUCAGCAAUAUGCAGUCCUCCAUUCUGGAACAAAUCAAUCAGUGCUUGGAAAUUUGCAGGUAAUUAAAG
rnacentral:sRNA from 1 species